UGUGAAGUGGGUUGCGUACGAGUCAAAAAUUGAAAAAUUUGUAAACAAAACAAGUUUACUCUAAAAUAUCUGUUUUCUUUCAGAUUCUUUUUAUUUAUAGAAGAGACGAUGUAAUAAGUAAAAACUGAUAAAGGAGAAGCUAAUUAAAGCUUGAGACUGUGGCAAAACUUAAAUAUAACCUUGGAAAGCUGCUAUUUACCCUCAUGAAUUUACCUCAAGACGCUAGCAUGUUCUAUAAAUUUUCAGAAGUUAUUGCCCUUUAAAUAUGUUUUCGGAGGAUUACAGCAAUUUUAAAGGUGUUCAUGAACCCGCUAUAUUAAGGGAUGAAACACGUUGAAGUGGACAUGACUACACAGAAGAAUCCCUUACAAAUAAUUGUGUAAAUAGUUACAGAAAUUAAGGUCGAGAAUGUUACUAGUCCUUACGAUUGAAUAAUUUUAAUAAAAAGUGAUAAAUUAAU